AACGAACGCUGGCGGCAGGCUUAACACAUGCAAGUCGAGCGCCCCGCAAGGGGAGCGGCAGACGGGUGAGUAACGCGUGGGAACGUACCCUUAUCUUCGGAAUAGCUCCGGGAAACUGGAAUUAAUACCGAAUGUGCCCUUUGGGGGAAAGAUUUAUCGGAUAAGGAUCGGCCCGCGUUGGAUUAGCUAGUUGGUGGGGUAAAGGCCUACCAAGGCGACGAUCCAUAGCUGGUCUGAGAGGAUGAUCAGCCACAUUGGGACUGAGACACGGCCCAAACUCCUACGGGAGGCAGCAGUGGGGAAUAUUGGACAAUGGGCGCAAGCCUGAUCCAGCCAUGCCGCGUGAGUGAUGAAGGCCUUAGGGUUGUAAAGCUCUUUCACCGGAGAAGAUAAUGACGGUAUCCGGAGAAGAAGCCCCGGCUAACUUCGUG
rnacentral:rRNA from 1 species